rnacentral:ncRNA from 2 species
GGCCGCGCGCACGCCACGGGUUGCCUGCUCGCGUUGACGCGGGGGCAGGCCUAAGAGGGAAGCCGGUUGCAACUCCGGCGCUGCCCCCGCAACUGUGACCGGGGAGCAUCCCCUCCAUUCGCGCCACUGAGCAAUCGGGAAGGCCGGACGGGGAUGCAUCGAUCCGGAAAGCCAGGAGACCUGCCCGGGGUCGUCGUUUGCA